ACGCCCGCGUCCCUGCGCCCCGCGCUCCGCCGCCUGCCGCCUGCCUGCCACUGCCUCCCGCCGCCGCCGCCGCCGCGGCCAGCCAAACCCUGCCCUGCCCUGCCCUGCCCUGCCGCCCGCCCAGGGCACGGGAGGCCUCGGGCACCCCGGGGACUGUGGGCGGGCGGGGCGCAAGUCUAGGCGCUCUCCCAAGCCGGCCCCGGACGCUCCAGGCCUCCUUCCCGCUGGCUUCCUGGCUAUAGAUUAGAUUCAGGAAAUAGUUUACGAUUCAAGUGCAUCCUAAAGUUGGAGCAACCCUGGCUAGAAUAUCAUAGAUCCUUGAGUUGGCAGAGACCUUUCACUCUUCAGUAUAUUUAUAUUCAACGCAAAGAUCCUUCCUUCUAUAUCAUCCUUGACAACAGACCACCUAGAUUCUGUGUAAAUAAUUCCGAUGACAAGAAACGCAUUAAAUAAAGAGACCCCUUUGUUUUUAGAGUUUUAAAUGUUU
rnacentral:lncRNA from 1 species